GACGGGCCUCCUCGCAUUCCGGCGUGGUCCACCUGGUCAGGUCCGGAAGGAAGCAGCCAAGGCCGCUCACCGGAAGUGCCGAGGGUCAGGCUCGUCCAC
rnacentral:SRP_RNA from 2 species